GCCGGGGUAGCCAAGUGGCCAAAGGCGAUGGACUCAAGAUCCAUUCCCGCAGGGGUUCGCAAGUUCAAAUCUUGUCCCCGGCA
rnacentral:tRNA from 2 species